UACGUAGGGGGCAAGCGUUGUCCGGAAUCAUUGGGCGUAAAGCGCGUGUAGGCGGCCCGGUAAGUCCGCUGUGAAAGUCGGGGGGCUCAACCCUCGAAUGCCGGUGGAUACUGUCGGGCUAGAGUGCGGAAGAGGCGAGUGGAAUUCCUGGGUGAUAGCGGUGAAAUGCGCAGAUAUCAGGAGGAACACCAAUUGCGAAGGCAGCUCGCUGGGACGUUACUGACGCUGAGACGCGAAAGCGUGGGGAGCAAACAGG
rnacentral:rRNA from 1 species